AGGACGAACGCUGGCGGCGUGCUUAACACAUGCAAGUCGAACGGUAAGGCCCCUUCGGGGGUACACGAGUGGCGAACGGGUGAGUAACACGUGGGUAAUCUGCCCUGCACUUCGGGAUAAGCCUGGGAAACUGGGUCUAAUACCGGAUAUGAGCUCCUGCCGCAUGGUGGGGGUUGGAAAGUUUUUUCGGUGCAGGAUGAGUCCGCGGCCUAUCAGCUUGUUGGUGGGUAAUGGCCUACCAAGGCGACGACGGGUAGCCGGCCUGAGAGGGUGAGUCGGCCACGACUGGGACUGGAGACACGGCCAGACUCCGUAGGGACGCAGCAGGUGGGAAUAUGACACAAGUGGGCGGAA
rnacentral:rRNA from 1 species